UACGUAGGGUCCAAGCGUUAUCCGGAGUUACUGGGCGUAAAGCGUGCGUAGGCGGCGCGUUAAGUGAGGUGUGAAAUCUGGCGGCUCAACCGUGUAGAUUGCAUCUCAUACUGGCGUGCUAGAGUAUGGCAGAGGCAAGUGGAAUUGGCAGUGUAGCAGUGAAAUGCGUAGAUAUUGCCAGGAACACCAAUGGCGAAGGCAGCUUGCUGGGCCACUACUGACGCUCAGGCACGAAAGCGUGGGGAGCGAACAGG
rnacentral:rRNA from 1 species